ensembl:lncRNA
CCUUUUUGAUGCCAGAGGUUAGAGGAAAUUGCCAUUCUGCUUUAAAGUUGCUCCAAUAGUCAUGUUUUACAAUAUAGGUAUGCAGAGGGAAAUUGCUCUGAAUGCACAACACGCUGAACCUUGAGAAGCUGGGUGUCACUCCUGUCUAAAAACAGCAAACUGAGGCUACAAUUUGCAUUCGUCUACCAAAAAUGGAAAGAUUGGAAAAAUGUUCCCUGGUCUGAAUUUUUGCUGCAACAGUUGAAUGACGAGGGUCAAAAUGUGGUGUAAGCAGUAUAAAAGCAUAGAUCCAUCCCGUCUUGUAGUCACGGUUCAGCCUGGGGGAGGUGAUGUAAUAGUCUGAGAUAUGUUUCCUUAGCACACUUUGGGCCCCUUGGUAUCAAUGAGCAUCUAUUAAAUUACAUAGGCUACCUGAUUAUUGUUGCUGACCAUGUCAAUCCUUUUGUGACCAUGGUGUACCAUGCACACCAUAUCAGAAAGCUCAGAGCAUCUCAAACGGAUUUUCUGAACGUGAAAAUUAGUUGACUGCGCUCAAACGCCCUCCAAUCCUUUUGGAUUUGCAGCAUAAAUGUGAAGCUGACAAAUAUGCAGCAACUGUGUGAUGUUAUGGGCCAAAAUCUCUGAGGAAUGUUUGCCAGCCCCUUCUUUAAUCUGUGCCACGAAGAAUUAAGACAGUUCUAGAGGCAAAAAGGGUCCAACCUGGUGCUAGCAAUGUUUAGCUAAAAAGUGACUGCUAUAUGUAUAAAGUUUUUCAGAAAACAUUCAGAGUCAAUUUAUGCUUGGUGCGGAGGAAAUGUUUUGCUUUUAGAGGUAUGCAGUCUUAGGCUGUUCUCCUCUAAUAGGUAAAAACAAAAAGCGUUUAUAUUGCCCACUAAAUACUUGACAGAUUUUUCAGAGUAUAAAAUAUCACAUAAUAGUAAACACAUUAUUCCCUAAGCGCCCCCCCAAAAAUACAAUAAAAUGUCUAAUGCCAUAAAAUUGGUUGUUUUUGUUGCUGUAAUUUAAAUCACAGAGAAAUGACCCCCACAGGUGCUGGCUUAUAGCAGUUUCUGCUAUGCUCUGGGUUCUGUUGAUUCAUGUUUUUGCCUUGUCUUCUGCCAAGAAUGCCUAAAACAUAUAGAGUUAUUAUCUUUAUUUUUGAUUACUGAGCCACGAUGUAAAGAGACAGCCAUUACUACAGUUCAUUAAGUAAAUGAACGUAAAGGUUGUCACUGAUUUCACACGCCCUUACUUCUCCCAAUGCAUUGUAUUCGGGUCUAUUUAAACUCCUGUAUUUGUUGCUUUUAAAAGACCCAGUUGACUUCACAUUGGUGCUGUUCAUGUUCAGACAGAUAUAUACAGAAAUAGUGAAAUUACACCAAAGAGAAAAUACGUCCUCGGAAAACUGGUUUACGAUACUAACGGGUAUUUGAUGUGGGGUUUUUUCCUGCUUUAGGGUAGAUAUUUUCAGUUACUGAAAUGAAAGAUUCAUCUGAACUGAAAUUAUUGAAUCUGGGAACAUUUGAUUAUUGCCAAAAUGCCCUGCCUCUCAGUGUGUAUACCUCCUAUAACUGCUCUCUACCUGUUUGUUUUAUUUGUUGAAAUGCCCAGGUGUAUUUUCCUCAUUCUGUUUCUCAGUACCGUGAAGCUGGCUACUGGCUUUUCCAGUAAAAAGGAAACAAAAAACCCUGGUGUGUGGCAUUUUUCCC